rnacentral:lncRNA from 1 species
AUGGGAGGGAGGGGCAGAAAAGGGUUAAGAAACUUGGCUGAAGAGCUGAAUGGCGUGGAGCAGCGAGGGGAGGGACCCGGCCGCCGCGAACUCGGCGGCGGAGGGAGGAGCGCGGCUGCGGCGGGCGGGCGGCGAGCGAGGCGCUCAAAGUCAGCCUCGCAGACAUUGCAGCAGAGCCCCGAACUCGGGAGGCGACGGCGAUCGCGGUGCAGGCGGAGGACGAGCCGGCCCCAGCCCGCCCGUGCGCACCGCCCGUGGCCUCGCGCGGCCGCAGGGCACGGCUCACCCGGGAAGGAGGGAGCGACGCGGAUCGGCGGCCCGGAGCCGAGGCGGCCUCGAAGUGCGUGGAUUGUGAGCUAUUGCAGAACUCAGUUCUCAGGACCCAUUAUUUCAACAUUUGGCAGAAACACAUCCAAAAGAUACUGACACCACGUGCAUUUGGUGAACAACGAACGAUGAAGAAGGAAAAACAGCAUAUUCCCUAAGGAGUGUUACCUGCAUGCCACGACAUAGCUCUGUAUUAAGGAGGGAGUUCCCCGGCUGCUCCUUGCCUAGCUGCUGAUCAGUGCUGGCGUUUGCCUUGGAGUCUGCCUGCCUCUUACCUGUCACUGCCAGAUGAUACCCUGGUCAGAAUGUAACAGCACACCGCUGCUCUCCCACAGCCAGGGAAGGUGAAUGACUGACAUUGACUUCCCAGAGUUGGAUCUCACAGAGCAGAAGAAAAGCAUCCUUAAAGUGAAUAGAAGCCACGCCCC